UACGUAGGGUGCAAGCGUUGUCCGGAAUUAUUGGGCGUAAAGAGCUCGUAGGCGGUUUGUCGCGUCGAAUGUGAAAACCCGGGGCUCAACUCCGGGCCUGCAGCCGAUACGGGCAGACUAGAGUUCGGCAGGGGAGACUGGAAUUCCUGGUGUAGCGGUGAAAUGCGUAGAUAUCAGGAGGAAUACCGAUGGCGAAGGCAGGUCUCUGGGCUGACACUGACGCUCAUGCACGAAAGCGUGGGGAGCAAACAGG
rnacentral:rRNA from 1 species